GCACCCCUGGUUUGGAAUGGAAC
rnacentral:piRNA from 1 species